GACAUCGGCAGCGGGAGCGGCGGCCAGACUCUCUUGGAAGUUUAGGAUAUUUCACAGUUCUGAAUGUUAGCCACUGAAAAUGCCAGUAGAUGAUGAAGCCUCUGAAGAUGACACGGAUUCACUUUCCUCAAACAGCCCAAGAACCUUUAUUUUCCAAUAAGAGAAUAUAACAAUUUCUGUACACUAUGGAAGAGUUUGACUUGGUGAAAACCUUACACAAAACUUCAUCUUCUGUAGGAUCUGAUGAAAAUUCUCUUCAUUCUCUUGGACUGAACUUAAAUACUGAUAGGUAAGAAUGGGAUUUAAAAAAAUGUACCAAAUCAGAAUAACCUUAUUUGCAUACGUUUAUCAACUUAUCCAAAUAGUGUCAUAGUUACUGAUUUGAAUUAUUAUUAUUAUUAUUUUUUAACCUAUCAUCAAGAAUGUUCAGGGAGGCUGGGCGCGGUGGCUCAUGCCUGUAAUCCCAGCACCUUGGUAGGCUGAGGCGGGUGGAUCACCUGAGGCCAGGAGUUGGAGAC
rnacentral:sRNA from 1 species